UCGAUUCACUUCUAAAUUGCGAGUGCACCAGAGGCAGGAGAACGCACAAAAGCGAAAUAAAACGCGUUAGGUUUCAACCAUAUUGCACAACCAAGAAACCAGCGUUCUUAUUUGCAAAUCCUGCAGGUGCAACAAAUUUUUAUUUCGCUUUUGGUGCCACGUGGAGCGGUGCACCCAGUCGAGCGGUCAUAGGGAAACGGGCGUCGACAUCCAGGACUAAACGCUGCUAGCAAAGUGGGAAGAACAAGGUCGCUACAACAUACACAAAUUUAAGCAAGCAGGUGCCGGUAUCACAUUCCGCCGGCGAGUAUACAUAAAAUAACACAAUACAUCGCUUGGUAUAAUACGGUGGCUGGCAAUGCACGUUAAUUCGGUACGUUAUAUACAUUGAUUUGGUACAAUAUAACGAUCGGAGCCAUAUUGGCGCAAUAUAUUACAUCGAGUGGUACGAUAUACACACGCUGUGAGCAAGCAGUAGCACGGGGCCAACGACAGCCAGCCAGUGAGAUAGAAGCGUUGGGCA